CAAUUUUCAAAUCAAUCUGAGCCAUUUCCAGUCAAUUCAGCAGAAACUUCAGGUCUGCAAUGGGAUCUGGGAUAAACUGUGGCCAUACGUUCUUCUGGAGUUCUUGAAGUUUCCCAAUCAGUUUAGAGGUGAUUCUGACAUGCAAACAAGCCUCUGGGCCAAAGUUCCUGUGUCCAAGGAUUAAAAAAAAAAUGGAGCAUAAGUCUGAGGCUGUGAACGAGGCUCCUCCUGCCCUCUGGAGCUUGCUGGAAGGAAACACAGCCCAAGAAGUGGACUAAAGAGUUGUUCCAACACCACUGCCUACAAGAUGAACUGCUUCCAAAUGAUGAUAGAGGAAAAACUUUCAGGCUGAUAACAUCACAUCAUAGCCCAUGCCAGUGAAAAUCUUUCAACAGGAAGAGUGAAGAAGAGAGAAAAGGUCAAAAGACUGUUUUACUUCACGAAUUUCUGACUUGCUUAAGUAACAACCUUAGUGGGAAAAUGCCAGUGGAAUUUCAUGAGUAUGACUGGCAGUGCCUGCGAGGAGGAGAGCUGCGAGGAGGAGAAGGAUGAGAUACUUUUGGUUAGAUGCAGAAAUAGCAGCUCAGAGAGGCAAGUGACCUGCCCAAGGCCCCAGGAACCAGGUCUAGAGGGACCCUGGUGUGUCUUUGCCUGAGAGAUGGAGCUGUCUGUUCCCGGCAUGGCCUGGAGGGGAAGAAGACCGUGGAAGGGAGAGGGCAGGGAGCUGCCUCACCUGCUAACUCUUCUCGAUUGAACCAGCUCUUCGCUUGGGAAUUUGACUGCAAUAUGACUUCUCAGGACACCAGACAUCCUAGCCUUAAAGAGGGCACAGGUACAUUUUCCUAGGCCAAAUUAAUAUGGAUUUUGAAUUAUCUCCUGUUGUUCAGAAAGAUCCUCCCUGCAUUGGUGGUUUUGACAUUUCCCAGGCUCCAAGAGCCAUGGAUCUCCUCUGAGAGCUGCACUGGAGAAGGUUCUGAAAGUCUUCUUUACAUCUCUAACCAGACAGGUCCUUAGGAAACUCCUCCAGCAAGCACUGACCCCUUCACAGCCAGUCCUGUGUCGGACUCUGAGGUAAAGACACCACCCAGUUGCUGCCCUCAGAAUCAACCUAGCCCUUGCUUCUCUCACAAGAGUGAAACUUGGAGGCAUUAAUAUAUAUUUUUGUUCUGCAAAACUUUAAAGAAUAAAACAUUAGAAAUAAAACUAUAACAAUCAUCCAUGUGCCUGCCACCCAGAUUUAUUGUUUUUUAAAGAAGUAAAACAUAAAUAUAGUUAAAAUUCCUUGUGUAUCCCUCCCAGUCCCAAUCCUCCCUCAGAGGCAAGCACUGUGGUGAAGCUUGUUACUGUUCUACAUGUAUUUCACAGUUUUAUUAUAUAUUCAUAUGCACAUAGCACAUAAACUUAAAAGACAUAAACUCAUACUGUAUAUAAAUUAAAUUUUACACUUAAUAUAAAUAUAAUUUAUAUAUUACACAUUACAAAAAGUUGUUUAUGUACUGCAUAAGCUUUACAUUUAAAUAUUAUACUUAGUCAAAAAUAAACUAUAUAUUUACAUAAAUAUAAACUAACAUUUAUAUACCGUAUGUCUAACAUUAACGUUUAUACUGUGUAUAGUGUGUAUAAAUUAAAAUGUACAAAAUUAGCUUCAAACCCUUCACAUAAUGAUGGUCUAACUUGCCUUUUGUCCAACACAAUAUAUUUUUAUUUCUAUUCAUUUUGAUGCAUCUUGAUUCCCUUCAUUCAUUCCAACUGCAGUGGAGUUUUCCAUUAUUGGAAUAUGUCACAAAUAAUUUAUGACUGUCCUAUGAUUUGCAAAGUACACUUGUUUGAAAUUUCCUAUGACUACAAACAAUGCUGCCACACAUUCUGUGGCUGUUUUCUUGUGUACACAUGCGAGUGAUUUUAGGACAGAUACAUAGAAGUGGAUGCUUCCCCUUUACCAGGUAUUGUCAGUUGUUUUUAAAAGAUGUCUGCGUGUGCACUGUCACACCAGCAGCAUAAGAGGCUCCUAUUUCUCUGCAUUCUUGCUGCCACCAGGCCAUGUUGAUCUUGAACUUUGUUGUUAAUUGGAUGGAAGUGAAAUGGUAUCUCAUUGGUGUUUCACUUGUUUCCCGACUAUUCAUGAAGUUGACAAUCUUUUCAUGGAUAUUGACCCUCCGGGUUUCUGCUUCUGUGAAAUGCCUUUUCAUAGUUUUUGCCUAUUUUUCUCUCUUGGGUUAUUUAUCUUUCCCUUAUUAAUCUGUAGGAGUUCUUAAAAUAUUCAGGUUUUUAAUCCUUUGUUGGUUGUGAGCAUUCACCAUGCUUCUCCUGGUCUGUGACUUGUCUUUGAAUUUUGUUUAUAAUGU
rnacentral:lncRNA from 1 species